UACGUAGGGUGCAGGCGUUAAUCGGAAUUACUGGGCGUAAAGCGUACGCAGGCGGUUUGCUAAGACAGGUGUGAAAUCCCCGGGCUUAACCUGGGAACUGCGCUUGUUACUGGCAAGCUAGAGUGUGGCAGAGGGGGGUAGAAUUCCAGGUGUAGCAGUGAAAUGCGUAGAUACCUGGAGGAAUACCGAUGGCGAAGGCAGCCCCCUGGGUUAACACUGACGCUCAUGUACGAAAGCGUGGGGAGCAAACAGG
rnacentral:rRNA from 1 species